UCAGCGACUUAUAUUCUGUAGCAAGGUUAACCGAAUAGGGGAGCCGGAGGGAAACCGAGUCUUAAUUGGGCGUUAAGUUGCAGGGUAUAGACCCGAAACCCGGUGAUCUAGCCAUGGGCAGGUUGAAGGUUGGGUAACACUAACUGGAGGACCGAACCGACUAAUGUUGAAAAAUUAGCGGAUGACCUGUGGCUGGGGGUGAAAGGCCAAUCAAACCGGGAGAUAGCUGGUUCUCCCCGAAAGCUAUUUAGGUAGCGCCUCGUGAAUUCAUCUCCGGGGGUAGAGCACUGUUUCGGCUAGGGGGCCAUCCCGGCUUACCAACCCGAUGCAAACUGCGAAUACCGGAGAAUGUUAUCACGGGAGACACACGGCGGGUGCUAACGUCCGUCGUGAAGAGGGAAACAACCCAGACCGCCAGCUAAGGUCCCAAAGUCAUGGUUAAGUGGGAAACGAUGUGGGAAGGCCCAGACAGCCAGGAUGUUGGCUUAGAAGCAGCCAUCAUUUAAAGAAAGCGUAAUAGCUCACUGGUCGAGUCGGCCUGCGCGGAAGAUGUAACGGGGCUAAACCAUGCACCGAAGCUGCGGCAGCGACACUGUGUGUUGUUGGGUAGGGGAGCGUUCUGUAAGCCUGCGAAGGUGGCCUGUGAGGGUUGCUGGAGGUAUCAGAAGUGCGAAUGCUGACAUAAGUAACGAUAAAGCGGGUGAAAAGCCCGCUCGCCGGAAGACCAAGGGUUCCUGUCCAACGUUAAUCGGGGCAGGGUGAGUCGACCCCUAAGGCGAGGCCGAAAGGCGUAGUCGAUGGGAAACGGGUUAAUAUUCCCGUACUUGGUGUUACUGCGAAGGGGGGACGGAGAAGGCUAUGUUGGCCGGGCGACGGUUGUCCCGGUUUAAGCGUGUAGGUGUGUGUUCCAGGUAAAUCCGGUUCACUUUAACACUGAGGCGUGACGACGAGGCACUACGGUGCUGAAGCAACAAAUGCCCUGCUUCCAGGAAAAGCCUCUAAGCAUCAGGUAACAUCAAAUCGUACCCCAAACCGACACAGGUGGUCAGGUAGAGAAUACCAAGGCGCUUGAGAGAACUCGGGUGAAGGAACUAGGCAAAAUGGUGCCGUAACUUCGGGAGAAGGCACGCUGACACGUAGGUGAAGUGAUUUACUCAUGGAGCUGAAGUCAGUCGAAGAUACCAGCUGGCUGCAACUGUUUAUUAAAAACACAGCACUGUGCAAACACGAAAGUGGACGUAUACGGUGUGACGCCUGCCCGGUGCCGGAAGGUUAAUUGAUGGGGUCAGCGCAAGCGAAGCUCCUGAUCGAAGCCCCGGUAAACGGCGGCCGUAACUAUAACGGUCCUAAGGUAGCGAAAUUCCUUGUCGGGUAAGUUCCGACCUGCACGAAUGGCGUAAUGAUGGCCAGGCUGUCUCCACCCGAGACUCAGUGAAAUUGAACUCGCUGUGAAGAUGCAGUGUACCCGCGGCAAGACGGAAAGACCCCGUGAACCUUUACUAUAGCUUGACACUGAACAUUGAGCCUUGAUGUGUAGGAUAGGUGGGAGGCUUUGAAGUGUGGACGCCAGUCUGCAUGGAGCCGACCUUGAAAUACCACCCUUUAAUGUUUGAUGUUCUAACGUGGACCCGUUACCCGGGUUGCGGACAGUGUCUGGUGGGUAGUUUGACUGGGGCGGUCUCCUCCUAAAGAGUAACGGAGGAGCACGAAGGUUGGCUAAUCCUGGUCGGACAUCAGGAGGUUAGUGCAAUGGCAUAAGCCAGCUUGACUGCGAGCGUGACGGCGCGAGCAGGUGCGAAAGCAGGUCAUAGUGAUCCGGUGGUUCUGAAUGGAAGGGCCAUCGCUCAACGGAUAAAAGGUACUCCGGGGAUAACAGGCUGAUACCGCCCAAGAGUUCAUAUCGACGGCGGUGUUUGGCACCUCGAUGUCGGCUCAUCACAUCCUGGGGCUGAAGUAGGUCCCAAGGGUAUGGCUGUUCGCCAUUUAAAGUGGUACGCGAGCUGGGUUUAGAACGUCGUGAGACAGUUCGGUCCCUAUCUGCCGUGGGCGCUGGAGAACUGAGGGGGGCUGCUCCUAGUACGAGAGGACCGGAGUGGACGCAUCACUGGUGUUCGGGUUGUCAUGCCAAUGGCACUGCCCGGUAGCUAAAUGCGGAAGAGAUAAGUGCUGAAAGCAUCUAAGCACGAAACUUGCCCCGAG
rnacentral:rRNA from 1 species